rnacentral:rRNA from 1 species
UAUCAGUACUCGCCCUAGCAAGGUGAAACCGCGAACGGCUCAUUACAACAGCUAUAAUCCACUCGAUCUUGAGCAGUUACUCGGAUAACUGUGGUAAUUCUAGAGCUAAUACGUGAAGCAAAGCUGUAUUCAUUUGGAUGCAGCGCAUUUAUUGGAGCAAAACCAGGCGGCUUCGGCCGUUCACUGUUGACUCAGAAUAACUAAGCUGAGCGCAUGGUCUUGUACCGGCGCCGUGUCGUUCGAGUGUCUGCCUUAUCAACUUUCGAUGGUAGUGUAUGUGACUACCAUGGUUGUGACGGGUAACGGGGGAUAAGGGUUCGACUCCGGAGAAGGGGCCUGAGAAAUGGCCACUACGUCCAAGGAUGGCAGCAGGCGCGCAAAUUACCCACUCUCGGUUCGAGGAGGUAGUGACGAAAAAUAACAAGGUGGUUCUCUACGAGGCCCACCAUUGGAAUGGGUACAACUCAAACCCUUUAACGAGUAUCAAUGAGAGGGCAAGUCUGGUGCCAGCAGCCGCGGUAAUUCCAGCUCUCAAAAUGCAUAGAACCAUUGCUGCGGUUAAAAAGCUCGUAGUUGGAUCUGUGCCGGCGUCGUGGUCCACCCUAACAGGCGGUACUGCGCGCGUCGGCUUUGGGCCGGUCUUCGUCCGGGGGCCUUAACUGGUCCGUCGGCCGUGGCUGGCUGGUUUACUUUGAGCAAAUCAGAGUGCUCAGCACAGGCGUUUCGCCGGAAUGUUCGUGCAUGGAAUAAUAGAACAGGAUCACGGUCCUCUUUUAUUGGUUUUGUGGACUGAGAUAAUGGUUAACAGAGACGAACGGGGGCAUUCGUAUUGCUGCGUGAGAGGUGAAAUUCUUGGACCGCAGCAGGACGGACUACAGCGAAAGCAUUUGCCAAGCGCGUCUUCAUUAAUCAAGAACGAAAGUCAGAGGUUCGAAGGCGAUCAGAUA